GGACUACUGGGGUUUCUAAUCCUGUUUGCUCCCCACGCUUUCGUGCAUGAGCGUCAGUGUUAGCCCAGGGGGCUGCCUUCGCCAUCGGUGUUCCUCCACAUCUCUACGCAUUUCACUGCUACACGUGGAAUUCCACCCCCCUCUGCCACACUCUAGCUUGCCAGUUACAAGCGCAGUUCCCAGGUUAAGCCCGGGGAUUUCACACCUGUCUUAGCAAACCGCCUGCGCACGCUUUACGCCCAGUAAUUCCGAUUAACGCCUGCACCCUACGUAUUACCGCGGCUGCUGGCAC
rnacentral:rRNA from 2 species